rnacentral:rRNA from 1 species
AGUUGAGCGAAGCUUUUCAGUAGUUUACUACAGAAAAUGACUGAGCGGCGAACGGGUGAGUAACGCGUGAGCAAUCUACCUUAGUUACUGGGAUAGCCCGAGGAAACUCGGAUUAAUACCGGAUAUUCUUAUUUUUUCACAUGAAGUUUUAAGGAAAGGUCAGCCGAACUAAGAUGAGCUCGCGUUCUAUCAGCUAGUUGGUGGGGUAAAAGCCUACCAAGGCUACGACGGAUAGCUGGUCUGAGAGGACGAUCAGCCACACUGGGACUGAGACACGGCCCAGACUCCUACGGGAGGCUGCAGCAGGGAAUAUUGCGCAAUGAGCGAAAGCUUGACGCAGCGACACCGCGUGUGGGAUGACGGUUCUAGGAUUGUAAACCACUUUCAGGAGGGAAGAAAAUGACGGUACCUCCACAAGAAGACCCGGCCAACUACGUGCCAGCAGCCGCGGUAAUACGUAGGGGUCAAGCGUUGUCCGGAUUUAUUGGGCGUAAAGAGCUCGUAGGCGGCUCAACAAGUCGGUCGUAAAAGUUUAGGGCUCAACCCUAAAAUGUCGGUCGAUACUGUUGUGACUAGGAUACGGUAGAGGUGAAUGGAAUUCCGAGUGUAGCGGUGAAAUGCGUAGAUAUUCGGAGGAACACCAAUUGCGAAGGCAGUUCACUGGACCGUGAUCGACGCUGAGGAGCGAAAGCUAGGGGAGCAAACAGGAUUAGAUACCCUGGUAGUCCUAGCUGUAAACGAUGGAUACUAGAUGUAGGAACUGGAUUGACGGUUUCUGUAUCGUAGCUAACGCGUUAAGUAUCCC